rnacentral:misc_RNA from 1 species
GAUGAAGAACGCAGCGAAAUGCGAUAAGUAAUGUGAAUUGCAGAAUUCAGUGAAUCAUCGAAUCUUUGAACGCACAUUGCGCCCGCCAGUAUUCUGGCGGGCAUGCCUGUUCGAGCGUCAUUUCAACCCUCAAGCCCCAGGCUUGUGUUGGGGACCUGCGGCUGCCGCAGGCCCUGAAAACCAGUGGCGGGCUCGCUGUCACACCGGGCGUAGUAGAUUUUAUCUCGCUCAGGGCGUGCUGCGGGUUCCGGCCGUUAAAAAGCCUUUUUUACCCAAGGUUGACCUCGGAUCAGGUAGGAAGACCCGCUGAACUUAAGCAUAUCAAUAAGCGGAGGA